GAGGUUGUGCGAUGACCUCGUGCAUUAUCAUCAUCGUCAUCAUAUAGAUUGCACUUACUUUAUUGUGUUAUGAUGUAUUGGCAUAUUGACAUGUUAUCUAUGUAUUUAUCGUAUCUUCUUUUACUUGUAUUUGAUUAUCUUGCAUAUGCAUGUUCCCCUUGUUCUUUUUAUAUAUGAUUAAUACGUACAUUUGUUCUAUCUUGGUGUGAGUUGCAAUAUAUGUGAGAUAUAUUAAAACUGUUAGUGCAAGCGGUGUGGGCUACCGUUGUGGGGACAUUUUCUGAUUGCAGGGGCCGUGCCUUUAGUGUAUAUUUUGUAGGCUUUAUUUACUACUUUGCUCUGUCAGCCUAUUAUACCUACUGAGUAUAAAUGGACUGUACUCAUGCCUACUGUGCCCUUUUGGUGUAGGUCCUAGCUUGAGUACACCUCAUCUUGAUUGACUCGGGCGAUUUUGGAGCUUCCAAGGUAGCGGUUAAACAUUCAUGCGUCCGAAGUUCAACUCUAUCUUUCUAUAGUAGUUAUGUCUUUAUUAGUAUUCGAAGAUAUUUAUUAUUCCUUUGUGGUUAUUUUUCUGAUGUAUUUGACUCUUGGAUUGUAUUAGUAGUUUUUACACUAUUAACACCUGAUUUUGGGCCUGAUUGGUAUUUUGGAUAAGUUCUUUCCUCAUUAUUAUGAUUACUAUUAUGAUUCGACUUGAUUCUAGAAGUUUUACCUUGGAAUAUUUCUGUCUUUUUUUUCUUUCUGUAUUAGUUUGGGUGAUAGACUUACUUGUAAAGGUACGUCGCGACAAGUGUCAUCAUGACCCUCAUUUUGGGUCGUGGCACCUACACUAUUGCCAUCUCACACCAAUCACAUAAAAUGGAUACAGGCCCAUAUAAAAUCCGCAUGAAUACACAGCUUGUGUCUUGUCCACCAACUAACAACAUCGACCCAUUUUACUUCAACAUAAUAAAAAGUUAAUAUUAAAUACACAUAAAAUAAAUAAUUUUAACAAUAGUUUCACAAGUUCCAUAGAUUUAGAAGCAACACAGUCAUGUAUACCGAGACAAACAAAGAUAGAGACGCAACACUAUUCCAAAAUUCAGAUUUGCGAAAAAUAACCAGUAGUCCUGAAAUAAAUUAAACACACCUAUAUGAGAAUGUACAAACCCACAUAGUCACAAACAAAGAUUUUUUUUAGAAUCGAAAUUCAUAUUUGUUUACAGAGUCCGAGAACGCAACAACAAUAUAGCUUGAUUGAAGUUGAAACAAAAUUGUGUAUUCAUGAGAAUCCCAAAAAAUGAAAUAAAGAUUAUUAAAAUUGAACAAAACAGUGGUGAGAUUGAAAUAACAGAGACGCAACAUGAAACCAUACCCAUGACCUCAAUUGGCGGUUAAUGAACAAAAAUACCAAAAUAGAUUUUAAAGAAAAUUACAAACACAUAUUUAUGUAUUCAAAAGAGAAAAACCGGAAGUUAAAUAAGGCAAAAAUUUCACAUAUCUUACAUAGUUUGACCACAAAAUAUUCCGUAAAAUGGGAGUCUCAGAUAAAAUCAAGUCUUUAAACUCAAUCGAAGAACAACAAUAUUAAUAUAAACUAAAAUUUGAAACAAGUCCAACGUUCACGUAUUUACAGAUCCUAUGUUCACGAAACAGAUUUCAGCCGAAAGUAAUUUCACCAAAAUUUAGAAUUAUUCUAUUCGUAAAGGCGACGAAAACAACAAUAGCAAGAUUAAGGCUAGAAACAAAUUAUGUAUCCGCAGAACAAAAAUCAGAUAAACAAAAGGAAGAUGAAGAUGAAUGAGAAAGGAAGUGAAUCCUUACCUUAUGUUGGGCAGCAAACCAAGGCCUUCCGUCAAGUUUUAAGCCAUGAAUUUUCUCUUCGAACUCAACUCCAAUAGAACUCGUGAAUAAUCAAAAAGUGAGAGUGGUGAAGAGGAACUGAUAUUGUGCUUUUGUGAAUCACUUUUCCCAUUUUUCCUCACCCAAAAUCUUGUCUCUUCAAGAGUGAAAAAACAUUGGUAUUUAUAGACAAAUUCGAAUUUGAAAUCGAAAUUCAAGAAAGCCAAAGGACAAAUCAAAAAUUUGAAAUUCAAAAGUUGAAAAGGACUAAUCUCCCUCGAAAUUGAACAAAUCUUCCGACCUUUGAUGUGAAUUUGAAAUUGAAAAUAACUUGUUGCACUGAUUUGGAUUUGACUUUGCUGUCAAAGAAUGAAAUCACGGCUUGGGGAAGAGAGAAAGUGUGUUCUGUAAUUUUAGG
rnacentral:lncRNA from 1 species